AUUGAACGCUGGCGGCAUGCCUUACACAUGCAAGUCGAACGGCAGCACGGGAGCAAUCCUGGUGGCGAGUGGCGAACGGGUGAGUAAUGUAUCGGAACGUACCUUUCAGUGGGGGAUAACGUAGCGAAAGUUACGCUAAUACCGCAUAUUCUGUGAGCAGGAAAGCAGGGGAUCGCAAGACCUUGCACUGAUUGAGCGGCCGAUAUCAGAUUAGCUAGUUGGUGAGGUAAAGGCUCACCAAGGCGACGAUCUGUAGCGGGUCUGAGAGGAUGAUCCGCCACACUGGAACUGAGACACGGUCCAGACUCCUACGGGAGGCAGCAGUGGGGAAUUUUGGACAAUGGGCGCAAGCCUGAUCCAGCCAUGCCGCGUGAGUGAAGAAGGCCUCGGUUGUAAG
rnacentral:rRNA from 1 species